UACAGAGGUCUCAAGCGUUGUUCGGAUUCAUUGGGCGUAAAGGGUGCGUAAGCGGCGCGGUAAGUCGGGUGUGAAAUCUCGGAGCUUAACUCCGAAACUGCAUUCGAUACUGCCGUGCUUGAGGACUGGAGAGGAGACUGGAAUUUACGGUGUAGCGGUGAAAUGCGUAGAUAUCUGGAGGAACACCGGUGGCGAAGGCGGCAUCCUGGACCGGUAUUGACGCUGAGGCGACGAAAGGCUA
rnacentral:rRNA from 1 species